rnacentral:rRNA from 1 species
GACGAACGCUGGCGGCGUGCUUAACACAUGCAAGUCGAACGGAAAGGCCUGCUUUCCCUUGUGGAUUGCGGGUACUCGAGUGGCGAACGGGUGAGUAACACGUGAGUGAUCUGCCCCCAACUUGGGUAUAAGCCUGGGAAACUGGGUCUAAUUCCCGAUAGGACUGCAGGGUGGUGCCUGUGGUGGAAAACGAUUUUCUAGUGGUUGGGGAUGAGCUCGCGGCCUAUCAGCUUGUUGGUGGGGUAAUGGCCUACCAAGGCGGCGACGGGUAGCCGGCCUGAGAGGGUGGACGGCCACAUUGGGACUGAGAUACGGCCCAGACUCCGACGGGAGGCAGCAGUGGGGAAUAUUGCACAAUGGGCGGAAGCCUGAUGCAGCGACGCCGCGUGGGGGAUGACGGCCUUCGGGUUGUAAACUCCUUUCGACCGCGAGGAAGCCACCUGGUUGGAAGGGUGGUGACGGUAGUGGUAGAAGAAGCACCGGCGAACUACGU